rnacentral:lncRNA from 1 species
GGGGGCUGCAGCAGCACAAUGGCAACGAGGAGGGCAACGAGAUCGGCAGGCGCGCUUGUGUGUAGGGAGGGCGUGUAGGCUGUGUGCGUGCGCUAGCCAGGGUCCUUCCCGUGCGGAACAGCCUGCCUGCGGGGAUGGACGCGCAGGGCGGGUGGGACCCGGCAGGAGGCGCGGCGGUGCCCGGGGCAGGGGCCGGGACACGACAGGGCUGAGUCCGCGGGGGCGUGCGGAGUCGUGCCAAGGCAGGGGGGAGCCUCCGCCUCCGCGUAAAGAUCACAGCCUGUCACGCUGCUACCGAAAUGACAUUUCGGGGACGGGUUUAAACGAAGCGACUCCCCGCUGUCAAGCCGCUCCCGUCGUAGGGACAUCCGGCAGCCCGGGGGCGAGCCCUUUAGGGACGCUGCCCACGAGCGGGCGAGCGCCGGAGAAAAGCCUCUGCACAGCUGUGGAAGGCGGUGAGGUGCCUCUUCCCAGUCAUUGUCUUUGUGACACGUUUAGUAACGCGGUCCCUGGCUAAGCGCAGGCAGCGAGACCCACAGAGUCCACGUCAAAUUGCUGGGGAAACGCUGUUGAGGGUUUGUACAUGCAAAACUGGCCCCUUUAUGCCUACGAGCCCUGGAUUCUGUUUGGGGCCUUGAUUACAUAAAGUUGAGCCGUGCAAGUCGGUAAUGGUGUAAGGCUGCUAAUCUUUUCUUCUGUAAAUAGUUAAUUUCUUUUGUUUCAAAGGGGAGAAGAUGGUGUGAACAGGUAAUAUAAACAAAGCUUCAGCUAAAUUAACUCUAGGGACUCUGGUGAGGUACCCCAGCAGAAAAACGAUGGUUUUCCAUCAUUAUUUUCUUUAAAAGAUACAUUUAGAAGCCUAAUUGUUGGGACUUUUUUUUUUUUUGGGGGGGGGGGGGGAUGUUCUCUAUCGGAGACACCAUUUUACGCCAGCACAGCGGCAGGGGAGUAUUUUUAGCGGUCUCCCCUCCCGGUCGGCUGCGGCGUUUCGGCGUUCCCCUCCAUUGGGUGGAACACAGCGCCGGCGCGGCGCCCCCCGCCGCCGGGGAGCCCGGCCGGGGUGCGCGGCCCCAGCCCUGCCCGCCUCCCGCCGCGCCGCGGGGGCCGGGCCUGCGCGGCCGCGCCGGGCACUGCACCGCGCCGCGGGGCCGGCGGGAUGGAUGCGCGCCGCGCUGCUUAAAGGAUGCGGGCUCAGGCGGGAAAAUGAGUCUGGAAGAAAAUUGGUGA